AUUCCAGCUCCAAUAGCGUAUAUUAAAGUUGUUGCAGUUAAAAAGCUCGUAGUUGGAUUUCUGCCAGGGUGCCAAUGUCCGCCGAAGUGCGUGCGCAGCGGCGCCCUCGCAUCCUUCUGUUAACGCCUCUCGGCAUUUACUUGCCGGUGGUGGGCUCAGAUAAUUUACCUUGAGAAAAUUAGAGUGUUUCAGGCAGGCUAGGCCGGAAUACAUUAGCAUGGAAUAAUGGAAUAGGACUACGGUCUCGUUGUUGGUUUGAGGGACUGGAGUAAUGAUUAAUAGGGAUAGUUGGGGGUAUUCGUAUACAAUUGUCAGAGGUGAAAUUCUUGGAUUUAUGGAAGACGAACUACUGCGAAAGCAUUUACCAAGGAUGUUUUCAUCG
rnacentral:rRNA from 1 species